GCGUCCAUAGCUCAGCUGGAUAGAGCAUCGCCCUUCUAAGGCGAGGGUCAAAGGUUCGAAUCCUUUUGGACGUA
rfam:Spirochaetaceae bacterium 4572_59 ex4572_59_scaffold_19, whole genome shotgun sequence.